GUCUCUGUAGUAUAUUACAUUACCCUGGUCUUGUAAACCAGAAAAGGGG
rnacentral:tRNA from 1 species